UGGGGAAUAUUGCACAAUGGGCGCAAGCCUGAUGCAGCCAUGCCGCGUGUGUGAAGAAGGCCUUCGGGUUGUAAAGCACUUUCAGCGGGGAGGAAGGCGAUAAGGUUAAUAACCUUGUCGAUUGACGUUACCCGCAGAAGAAGCACCGGCUAACUCCGUGCCAGCAGCCGCGGUAAUACGGAGGGUGCAAGCGUUAAUCGGAAUUACUGGGCGUAAAGCGCACGCAGGCGGUCUGUCAAGUCGGUUGUGAAAUCCCCGGGCUCAACCUGGGAACUGCAUUCGAAACUGGCAGGCUAGAGUCUUGUAGAGGGGGGGAGAAUUCCAGGUGUAGCGGUGAAAUGCGUAGAGAUCUGGAGGAAUACCGGUGGCGAAGGCGGCCCCCUGGACAAAGACUGACGCUCAGGUGCGAAAGCGUGGGGAGCAAACAGG
rnacentral:rRNA from 1 species